rnacentral:rRNA from 1 species
GGGGGGUAGGGCAGGAAAUAACAAUAAGGGGCUAAGUUUAAUGGGGAGUAAGGGGAAUUAAAGGUUUUUAAAGUUUUAAAGGGGAGCAAAGUUAGGGCACGUCAGGCCGUAAUCCCGGUCCAAACAGCUUAAUAAAAUAUUUUAAAAUAAAAACAUUUAAAAUGAUUUUAGUUGACUUUGUUCUUUUUCCCCGCGGGGUUAUGCAAGGGUUAUUUCGGGUAUUGCAUAGGCUUUGCCUGGAUGUUUACUUUGAGAAAAUUAGAGUGCUCAAAGCAGGCUUUAGCCUGUAUAGUUUAGCACGGAAUAAUAAAGUAGGACUUUGGUUCUAUUUUGU